rfam:Mycoplasma alkalescens 14918 contig00009, whole genome shotgun sequence.
GGGGAUGUAAUGGCAUCGACAGGCAUCUAAGUGUUUUUGUGGCAGUGGUCUUGUAAACCAUAAUACUUUCUAGGCUUUUUAAAUGCAAACUUAGAAAAAAAACAAAAAGAAUUCUACAUGACAAACGUGAUGUUGAAUCAAGCAAACCCAGUUUACGCUUAAUUAGUAAUUGGUCGAAAUUUUAUGAUGGCCCGUUAUAAAAUUUUGUUGUGAGGGCUUUUUGGUUUAGUGAAAUUCAGUUAAUAACUAAACGACAUUGAUAACUGAAACUUAUUAUUUUUUUUGUUAAUUUUUAAUUAAUAAGUUUUUUAAAAAAAUUAACUAAACUGUAGAAAUAAAAACAUAAGGGUGUUUGGACCGGGGUUCAAUUCCCCGCAUCUCCACCA